GUGGGUAUAGCUCAGGGGUAGAGCACACGUUUAGCAUGCACAAAGUCCUGGGUUCAAUCCCUAGUACCUUCA
rfam:Camelus ferus unplaced genomic scaffold scaffold2341, whole genome shotgun sequence.